CUUGAAAAAAAGCUCAGUUCUGGUACCAUUUCAUGGCUGUCGGUAUGGCUGUCGGUAUGGCUGUCGGUAUGGCUGUCGGUAUGGCUGUCGGUAUGGCUGUCUGUAUGGCUGUCGGUAUGGCUGUCAGUAUGGCUGUCUGUAUGGCUGUCGGUAUGGCUGUCAGUAUGGCUGUCGGUAUGGCUGUCGGUAUGGCUGUCUGUAUGGCUGUCGGUAUGGCUGUCGGUAUGGCUGUCUGUAUUACUGUCGGUAUGGCUGUCUGUAUG